CCAAACAAAAAAGGAAAUAAGCUCUUAUUCCUUUCUUUGUUCCUAAAUAUUGUAUUUGGUAUUUAAAACCAGCAGUUUUCGGCUCUCUAAAAUAAAUUGGUAUAAUCCGAUAUGAGGUUGGAACUGUUGUUUCAUCUUUUUUUCUGAAACAUACUUAACCCCGAGUGAGAACAAGAUUAAUUAAAAUCUAAAUUUAAUUUUAACUAUAAUAUUUAAUUAUUAAUUAAUCUAAUUAAUAUAUUUAAAUAAUUAUGCACUGUCUAAAUAAUAAAAUAAUAAUUUAUUUUUUUAUUCUUUAUAAUUAAUUACCUAAUUAAUUAUUAAUAAUUUAAUGUGUUUAUCCAUAAAUUAAUAUUUAUAUUUAUCAACCAUUAAUAAUUCUGUUAAUCUAAUUAAUUUUUUACUAUUUAUCUAACUAAAAUAAUUUACUAACUAAUUAAAACUUUAAAUCAUACUUUAUAUUUAAUUAAUUAAUUAAUAUAUUUUCAUUGUCUUACACAUUUAACCGUU
rnacentral:lncRNA from 1 species